rnacentral:rRNA from 1 species
CUAAACAUGCAAGUCGAGCGGUAGAGAGAAGCUUGCUUCUCUUGAGAGCGGCGGACGGGUGAGUAAUGCCUAGGAAUCUGCCUGGUAGUGGGGGAUAACGUCCGGAAACGGACGCUAAUACCGCAUACGUCCUACGGGAGAAAGCAGGGGACCUUCGGGCCUUGCGCUAUCAGAUGAGCCUAGGUCGGAUUAGCUAGUUGGUGAGGUAAUGGCUCACCAAGGCGACGAUCCGUAACUGGUCUGAGAGGAUGAUCAGUCACACUGGAACUGAGACACGGUCCAGACUCCUACGGGAGGCAGCAGUGGGGAAUAUUGGACAAUGGGCGAAAGCCUGAUCCAGCCAUGCCGCGUGUGUGAAGAAGGUCUUCGGAUUGUAAAGCACUUUAAGUUGGGAGGAAGGGUUGUAGAUUAAUACUCUGCAAUUUUGACGUUACCGACAGAAUAAGCACCGGCUAACUCUGUGCCAGCAGCCGCGGUAAUACAGAGGGUGCAAGCGUUAAUCGGAAUUACUGGGCGUAAAGCGCGCGUAGGUGGUUUGUUAAGUUGGAUGUGAAAGCCCCGGGCUCAACCUGGGAACUGCAUUCAAAACUGACAAGCUAGAGUAUGGUAGAGGGUGGUGGAAUUUCCUGUGUAGCGGUGAAAUGCGUAGAUAUAGGAAGGAACACCAGUGGCGAAGGCGACCACCUGGACUGAUACUGACACUGAGGUGCGAAAGCGUGGGGAGCAAACAGGAUUAGAUACCCUGGUAGUCCACGCCGUAAA